UACGAAGGGGGCUAGCGUUGCUCGGAAUCACUGGGCGUAAAGGGUGCGUAGGCGGGUCUUUUAAGUCAGGGGUGAAAUCCUGGAGCUCAAUUCCAGAACUGCCCUUGAUACUGAGGGUCUUGAGUAUGGGAGAGGUGAGUGGAACUGCGAGUGUAGAGGUGAAAUUCGUAGAUAUUCGGAAGAACACCAGUGGCGAAGGCGGCUCACUGGCCCGGUACUGACGCUGAUGUGCGAAAGCGUGGGGAGCAAACAGG
rnacentral:rRNA from 1 species